GUCCGACACCAAAGAAAUAGUUAUGGUGCUGCGUUUGCUAACCAUAGCCGCAAAUAUGAGAAUGACCUGGAGAAGGUGCAAAGAUGGAGGACAGCUCUUACAGAAGCAGCAAAUCUAAAAGGAGUUACUCUCAAUGAGGGAGAAAAAAAUGGGUAAGCAUAUAGUUUACAAAGAAUCCCCCACUGAACCGGGCAAGCGAAGCAGGUUGUGGCAUCAUGAAGAUGUGCGCAAUGUUCUAAUUGACAGUAGAGGAACAAAGAAAAUUAGAGGCACUGUUGUGAAUCUGUCCGAACCAGAUGUGAUACCCUUGAAAGCAAAAAGCUUCUCGAAGAUGGUGAAUCUUGAAUUUUUUAUAAACCGUAAUGCACACUUUUCAGGACGCAUUGAUUACCUGCCCAACAGUUUGAGGUUGAUUGAAUUCGGUGGACGAUUCAAUAUUAAUCAAAAGCAUACGUAUGUGCUCAAUUUGCCAUCCAAUUUUCAUCCGAGACAACUUGUUAGCUUUGAUGUGUCAUACAGUGGCAUAAGACAAUUGAAGGAAUCUAAGAAUUUGGCAAAGCUUACAUGGAUGAAUUUAAGUGGUUGCGAAUUCUUAAAAAAAAUCCCGGACUUAUCUGGAAGCCCAAACAUAAUUGAGUUGGAUCUAAGUGACUGCACAAGUUUGGUCGAGGUUGAUGAUUCAGUUGGAUUCCUUGAUAAACUUGAAAUAUUGAAUCUUAGUGGGUGCUCUAAGCUUACGAGGUUUAUAACAAGACUUGGAUUGAGAUCCCUUAAAGAGCUUUAUCUUUCUGGUUGCACAAGGUUGGAGAGAUUUCCAGAAAUAGAGAAGGACAAGAUGAAAUCUCUGAGGCAUUUGAAGAUAGGAAAAAGUGGCAUAAGAGAAUUGCCUUCAUCAAUUGCGUAUCUUACUGGGCUUACGGACUUGAUUGCAAAUGGUUGUGAGUUGCAAAAUGUCCCCAACUUAUCCAGAUGCCCAAACAUAGAGGAGUUGGAUCUAAGUGACUGCACAAGUUUGGUCGAGGUUGAUGAUUCAGUUGGAUUCCUUGAUAAACUUGCAAUAUUGAAUCUUAGUGGGUGCUCUAAGCUUACGAGGUUUGCAACAAGACUUGGAUUGAGGUCCUUAUAUGAACUUGAUCUCAGAGGUUGCAGAAGGCUCGAGAGUUUCCCAGAAAUAGAGGGCAAGAUGGAAUCCGUAUGGUAUUUGGAUAUAGAAAAAAGUGGCAUAAGAGAAUUGCCAUCAAUUGCUUAUUUUACUAGGCUUGAGACAUUGAAAGCAAAUGGUUGUGAGUUGCAAAAUAUCCAACUCUUCCCUUUUGGAAAGAAGGUGAAGUUUGAAGAAGUUUCAUCCUGCAGAACCAAUUUACGACUGUCUCUUGAUCUGGAAGGAUGCAAUUUAUCAGAAAGUGAUUUCCUUGUGCCUCUUGAUUGCUGGUCCGCAUUAACAAAACUUAAUCUGUCGAGCAACAAUUUUGUUAGCCUUCCGGAUUGUAUUAGCAACGCUGUCAACUUGGAGAGACUUCUCUUGAUGGCUUGCAAGAGGCUUCGAGAAAUUCCAGUCCUUCCACCAAAACUAAAAGAGUUACAUCUGGAUGAUUGCACAUCAUUGGAGAAAAUUCCAAAACUGCCCCCGAGGCUUGCGAUUCUUAGCUUGUGUCACUGCUCUGGACUUAGUGGUGAUGAGGUGGGGCUUGCGAUUCUUAGCUUGUGUCACUGCUCUGGACUUAGUGGUGAUAAGGUGGCAAAGUUGGAAAACAACUUGUUGAAUGAGGAAAUUAAUCCGCACUCUCGAUUGGAUAUUAUUUACCCAGGCAAUGUAGUUCCAAAGUGGUUCAGUUAUACCUCAGAUCAUCCCACAACCAUUCAACCUCUACCAGAAUAUGAAUGGGAUGAAUAUGACAGGAAACGAAAAUUUGGAGGCAGAGAAUUUCGUUUUGAAAUUCCUCUAAAAUUACAAGUGGGGGAGACGUUAUUAGGAUUGGCUCUAUCUUUUGUUCUUGAACCAUCAACGGAAAUUUAUGCUGAUGACAAGUGUAUUUUCAUCAACGGAAAAACAACGUGUGUACCUUAUCCAUGGUAUGCAACGGACAUAAAGGCAACUCAUGUGAGGUUUACGUUAGUGAAUUUAGAGGAGCUGGAGCAGCAGGGAGAUAUUUGUCAAGUUGUAUUUCGUUUGAGCAAAGGGUGUCCCAUUAAAAGCUGCGGCGUGCACUGCCUAUUGCGGAACCAAGACGAACUGCUUCACUUGUCUCUAAGACCACCGAGCAGCCUUGGGAAGAGGCCUCGUCCACGUGGAUCCUCAGAUAUCUUUGACAAUGAAUAUGAUCAGCAACAACAAUGGCUUUCCUCAUCUUCGGAGCCAGCAGAUGAUCAUCCAAAACGCAGGCAGAUUGAUCCCAAUGUUCCUAUUGAGGAGGAUGAGGAGCAAGAGCAACCAUUCGCUUCAGAUGAUCCGCAAUUUCUGAUUUCUUAAAGAGUUUUGGAGGAAAUGGUUGAGAUUACAUGUCUAUAAAGGUUGAGUCCCUGCUCAAGGGGAAAACACGUUCUUAUUCAGUAAACUAGCCCUAUUCUAGUGAAAGCAUAAGGUCCCCAUUGAGUAGAAGACUUACCUCUGCAAACUCUGUUGCAAUGGCUUCUUCAGGUUUGAUUUAUACUCUGCUUAUUAAUGUUGUAAUCUAUGUGAAGCUAAAAUUAUAAAACUCCAACAUUUGGUAUUAGAGCCUCUAUUAGCUCUUCAUAGAUUCACUGUAUUCUAUAUUAUAUGUUCCGCUGUGAUAUUUGACGUUGUGUUUUCUUGAGUGCUUCUUCAGGAGCAAAAUCGAUUCAACGUGAUAUGAGUUCCAACCUCAUUAUCAUCAAAAGGAAAUCAUGCUGUUAAACCAUUAAAACAAAUGUUUGUAAAGUCUACACCAAAGUGGGAUUUUAAUAAAAUUUUGUUUACUAAGGAGGUUGCAUGGAGGGUGAUUCGUAGUACAUGACAUGAUAACUAUAAUCCAAAGGGUAUUAAGUUAACUGGUUGGUUUUAUUAAUCAGUGUAUAGGUUUUUAGUUAGUCUUUGAGUCAACUAUUUUCUCGUCCAAAGAUUAGAAUUUUAGUUGUAACUUGAACCCUAAUUAAGAAGGCUAUACAAUAAGGAUGCAUGAUCAGUCCAUAUGCAUAAAAUGCAGUCGUGUAUCUUGCCCAAAGGUGUUACAUGUAUCUGUGAUUGAUUAUUUUUCAAUGAAGUUAUUUGAUUGUUUUAUGUGGCUUCCUCAAUGAAUUCGAAUGCUCUAAGUUUCUCCUCCAUUGAGCCCUUGAAUGGAGGGAAUUUCAAGAAGUGGAAGCAAGAUGUUGAGAUCGUGCUAGGACUGAUGGAUUACGAUCUUGCACUGAGGGAAGACCAGCCACCUGCUGUGACUGAAAACAGCACCAAUGAGCAAAGGAUGAAGACUGAAAGAUGGGAGAAAUCCAACAGGAUGGCUCUCAUGGUGAUGAAGAGGUCAAUCACUGAGACAGUCAGAGGUGGGAUUCCAGUGUGCGAAAAGGCGAAAGAUUUCCUGGAGGCUGUGGGUGCAAAGUUUAAGGUUUCCGAGAAGGCAGAAAUGGGCAACUUGAUGACCACUCUGACGUCACUCAAGUUCGAUGGGAAAACCAGUGUUCGUGAGCACAUUUUGAAGUUGGUAGACGCUGCAGCCAAGCUAAAGGAUCUCGAGAUGCCACUUGAUGACUUUUUUGUUGUUCAUAUGGCACUCUCAUCACUACUUGAGUCAUUUGAACAACUUAAGAUAUCAUACAACACACAAAAGGAAAAGUGGACACUUGACGAGAUGAUCUCUAUUUGUGUGCAAGAGGAGAGUAGGCUGAGCAAGAUCAAGCCUGGGACUGUGAAUUUAGUGAACUUCAAUGCUACGAAAAGGCCUAUGCUGAACAUUGGUAAGCAAACUAAGCCCUAUACUACCUCUAAUGUUGCUGCCAAUAUUGCUUCCUCCUCUAGAGGACCUCAAAACUAUAAGGUGGACUUGGAAAAUAUGAAGUGUUAUUUUUGCAAACAAUUGGGACAUUUGAAAAGGGACUGUGAGAAAAGAAAGAAAUGGGCAGUGAAGAAAGGGCCCUUCAAGAAGAGCGUCAACAAGUAAUGAAGUUUUUGAAGUGCAUGUAGGGAAUGGAAAUAAAGUAGCUGUGGAAGCAAUAGGCAACCUCAAGCUUAGACUAUCUACUGGAUUUGUUUUAGAACUUUUUGAUGUUCUUUAUGUUCCGUCAUUAACUAGGUCUUUAGUUUCUGCUUCAAAACUUGUAAGGAAUGGUUUUGCUUUCAUCGGAGACGAUGAGAGCAUAAGGUUAUUUAUGAAGAAUGAUUUGAAUUA